ACACAUCUCUACUCCCACUCACUUCCUGUAGCCUCCCCCUCGCCUCUGACUUUCUUUAAAUGCAAUGUUUUAGGUCAUUCUUCUUGUCCAGCUUCUCUGUUAAAUUAAAAACACCCUAGUGCUUGUACAUUUAGCUGAAUCAAGCCAGACGCUGUAUUUUAUUUUUAUAACUGAAUUCCUGUGAGAUAAAAAUCUCAUUUUCCUUAGUAGGCUGUAAU
rnacentral:lncRNA from 10 species